GGCCAGGUUCCACGCAAUGGGAUCGUUGGCCAACGGGUCAGGACCGAGAGGUAGCAGCCCAGCCUUCGUGUUUCAGGUGCCGUGGCUCACCUGGUCUCC
rnacentral:SRP_RNA from 1 species